UUACUUCACUUUCACAGUUCAGUAUCGAUCGGGCAAAAACAUGUUACUGAUAAGAACGGUGCAGGCAAUGAUUUCGCCAAGUCAGCUGACGAGGACAAGAUAUCUAUUUUGACUGUACCAGACAUAGUAUCAGAUUUGUAUGAUAGACAGUACAGUUCCUUUCCCUCUUAGUGUAAUCUCAGACCCCAUAGAGAUUAGUCGAUAGCAUAAAGGCAAUAUGACGGUUCAAGUGAAAUGUAAUGUUUUACUUACAACCUAUCUAGGUAUAAUGAUCACAGAGUAUUUAAGUUUUGUCCACGCGAACCGGCUUAAACGGUUUGUCAACCCGAAAGAUAGACCAACUAACCCAAUUCCAGUUGUUGCUACGGACAACCAAACGAUUCUGUCUCAAUCUGACAACAAUCAUACGGAGAUGACCGCCCCGACGCCUCAGACAUUAACCACCAAGCAGGCACUAAACCCCUAUUUUGAUUUACAGGAGGUUGACGUUUUCAUAGUAAAACGAAUCUUAGCGCAUAAAAUAGUGAAUGGAGAAAAGUACAACAAGAUUCACUGGUAAAAUUUCACUUUACAGGAAACUACAUGGGAACCCGAAUCUAAUAUCCCUCAAGGAUUGAUUCGUGAUUACAUGAUCCAGAAGUCCUUAAAAAAGAAGCGAAAACGGUAGAAUAUAUCUGAAUAUAUUUGUCGAAUAGUGUUUCAGAUUAAUUGUUAUAUUUCGUUUCCUUUUCAGUUACCGCACUGCACAUUACAUAUUGGAGACGUCUAAUAUUGAUUUUUGCAUGUGUUUUAUUUACAGGUUUAGAAUUACAUGAUUGCUAUAUGCAUGGAGCACGGCUCAUAUCGAUACAUGCUAUAGAUCAUUUACUACGGUGUUAAGAUGAUUCAAUUGUCACAAGGUUAUAGGAAAAUACAAACGUGCAUAUAUGUUGAAAAUGUGUAUUGUAAUUGUCAAAUAUUGUGUUUUGAAUACUCCGAAUACUCGGAUUAUUUACAGAGAUGUGUUGGUUGAUAUUGAAGAAUAAAAAUCAUGUUCAUGGGUUAUGGCCGCACAUGUAUUUCGCGGGCCACGUGAAUACAAAUGAGUUACAAUAUACGAGAAAUGACGACUACGGGUCGCAUGGUUAUAUACUCCUUCUACGAGAUGAUUCUGGCUGCACAUGUAUUUCGCAGGCCACUAUAAAGCAAGUUCGCUUUGUGUGUAUAUACGAGAAAACAAAUGAGUUACAAUAUACGUGAAAUGACGACUACGGGUCGCAUGGUUAUACAAUACGAUUACAAAUACAGUGAAGUAAUAUACGAUGAUGAGAAUUGAGAUACAGUCAUGUGAACUGAAUACCGUCAUGUGACGUGGAAUACAAAAACGAGACAAUAAAUAAUGUUGUGAUGAUAUAUGUUGAUACUGUAAAAGAAGUUCACUAUUGUUGGAUGGUGCUUACUCGCACGGUUCCCAGUGUGAGAUUAUAUAUUACAUACUUGUGACAAUUGUUAUCAUGCUUCUUAGAUACAGUCAGCGAGGUGAAGAUUCGAGAUGAAUACAGUCAGCCAGUUACUAGGUUUCACAAGACAUGAAAACCUUUUCUUAUAAAACAUGAGUGAUCUAUGAUAUUUAGUUUGAAGUAAAUAAUUAUGUUUUUACACUGAUUUCUUUGAAUUUUAGAAUCCAGAGGCCUCCUCCGACCAGUAUGGGUCUUAUUCAUUGUCAUCGCUUUGGUAAGCAUCCAGAAUCGGGUUAAUUCCGUGCAUACGGAACUCCGACUUCCAUGGGGAGUUGUCUUCGUACAUAUGUCACGAAUCGACAUUUCCCAGAAUAAAUGGAUUCAUAUCUUUCAAUAUAAAUUGCCUGAUUUAGAUGGAAUGGGCAAUAGAUCAAGAUAUCGAGACUUUUGUUCCACAUAUACUUUGGCUUGUUAUACCGUUUCGGCGAUGGAUGGAUAUAUAGAAAAGGCCGAACGAGAGUUGUUCGCGUAUUGGACAAAUGUCCAUAAAGACAUUUACCUGUUAAUUCCCCAUAUUAACAUUUUUCACAAGGAUUCCCGCACUAAACGGGCGAUACUUCCUUUUAUUGGAUCAAUAAGUCGUUCGCUGUUUUGUACUGCUACAGUCGAGGAUGUUGAACGACUGGCGCGGUAUGUUAAACAAUUGUCGUUGCAUGCUGCUAAUACUUCUCGUGCUUUUCAAGUCCAAGUUCGUCAGAUGUCGUCAUUUAUAACUAAAAAAAAUCAACGCAUUUUAUCCGCUCUCGCGGGUAUUGAAACGAACCAUAAAGAUAUUAUACUUGUCACUAAACAAAUACAAGAUGUGGAGAGAUUUAUUUUUAUCACAGUGAAAAUCUUGUUAGAUCGCCUCACGUUCCUAACUACAAGAAAUUGAUGAAAUGUAUUUAGGCAUUCAACAGUUAGUAAAUCAACGAUUGAGUCCAUCUUUACUCCCAGUUUCGGAAGUAAAGAGAGCGUUAAAAAUGAUUCAAAACCGUCUCACGUUGCACAUAAGGAUCCAGGUUAUUAUUAUCGGGAACGCACUGUUCACUGUUCUCGGAAUUCAGUUUCAAUUUUAAUUUCGCUUAUUGUUCCUAUCCAGACUCAUUCUACUCUCCUUGAUGUAUAUCGAAUCAAUUCUUUUGGCUUACCAUUUAAUCAAUCAAGUACGCAUGUCACUCAGGUUAUGAAUUUACCAGAUUAUCUUGCUGUUUCGGAAGCUAAAGAUCAGUAUAUUGAAUUUUCGGCUAGGGAUUUUCAAACAUGUUAUGGUGAACACGAAAAACACUGUCCAAUUUUUCACAGUCCGAAACCAACAACAUCGCUCACAUGCGCACUUGCUUUGUUUACUAAAGACACACAAGAAAUUAAAUCCUUGUGUGAUACAAAAUUCCGAUUAAAUGGGCUACGUUCAAUGGCUCUCGAAAUUGAACCAGGCACAAUUCUUUUAACUGGCAUAAAAACCAUAAUACUAACGUGCAAGGGUCGCAUUGAGAAGCGUCCUGCUUGUCAGAUUUGUAUAUUUAAAAUUCCUUGUUACUGUGCGUUGAAACUGGAUGAAUUCGACAUAGACAUGAGAAUUCAUAAAUGUGUGAAAAAGUCAACUGCUUCAAAAUUAUACCCACCUAAUCUUUUACUUUUAUUGGAAUUUUUUAAUGCAUCCAUCUUAAAAAACAUUGAUAGUUUACAGCCCCUUCUGAAAGAUUCCGCUUUUAAGAUCCCACAUUUAUUAAUUGAUGAUAAAGUUUUCGAUGAAAUUCGUAGAAAGGACACAGAAUUUCAAGUUGAUUUACGCCUUAUUUCUCAACGUAUGAAAAAGGCAUAGGUCAUUUCGGAUAAUUUAAUUGAUGGUAAUUGGAUGGAUUCCCUCCCACCUUACGCUUUAGAUGGGGAUUUAACCUACCCAUAUCACUUGACGGCAAGCAUAGCCGCGGGUUUAUCCCUGUUUCUCUUAAUAAUCGUUCUUUUCUUAUGGAUUAAAGUUCGACGCUUAUUUUUUGCAUUGACCUUACUUACAGCAGGCUCCCCAACUGACGGUUUGCCAAUUUGGAAAACACAUCCAACUACACCCUAUCCAAAUUAUUCCCCUCCUUCAUUUAUGUCGUUGAUUAAAUCCACUAUUUCCAUGGAUGUUUUUCUGAUCAUAUCGACAGUAUUUCUGGUAUUCAUUUUGCUUUUUCGAAGAAUAAACAAAAGUCAAUCGACCAGUUACGUCACUGGUUUUACAUUUGACAAAUUCCUUUGCUUGUCAUGAAAUUAUGGUCUCACAAUUUUAUCUUUGUCCCCGAGACCUCACGUUAACAGCUGGAAAUCCUUUAACUAAUUUUCGUAUUCAGCGGGUAUUCCUUACUUAUUAUUCACUGUUUGAUUGUCACAAUUUGCAAAUUCAAACCCCGACACAAUCUAUAUAUAUUUCGGGAAAAAUUUAUGUAAGUUGGCUAAUGGCGUUUCGUUUAAAACGAUUCCUUCCUUCCACGACAGGUGUUUUUAUGGUACUUCAACAUUGUGGAGUCGCUUUUCCGUUACCUCUGACAUGAUUCUUAUAUUAAUUGCCAUCUGCCACGGGACGAUAAUGAUGAUGAUUUCCUUAUCUAGAUAUUUUAUUCUUGCCCGUGAUAUUUCAUAUUGUAAUGGCUUUGUUUUACCCAUUCUACGGACCAGUUAUUUGUGAGUGUUAUACACGCUUGUCAGUAGGGUACAGCGAGAAUGUCAGAAUUUAAAAUGGUUAAGAAUUUGAAAUAUUUGAUCAUAUUAGUUAUCCCCCUUUACAGAUACUGAUUUACAAGGAGAAAAGUUUAUUUCUACUUAUUGCAUCUCUUUAUUGUGACAAUAUUGAAUGAAUUACUUUUCUGUAGAGACAAGACCUGUAUUUGGAAUUUGGCUCUCUCAUAUGAUGGUCAUUUGAUAGUCACUUGGUGACAUUACGUUACAUUAUUCUACUAUUGUGUAUCUUCUAUAUUACUGUCUAGGUUCAAUUACUAUCGGUGUUUCAAUGUGUGCUCUCAGCUCAUCCCAUAAUAAUUAUAUAUGUUGUUCGUUUUGGUGUUAUUAGCUACAAAGCAUUUGCUGAAUGUUGUUGAUUAGAAUUUUAUGAUAGUUAGUCCGACUGUACUGUUCAAGCAGUCCAUAAGUUUUGCGAUUUGAUCGUGCUUAUUAAUGUCUUUUUAUGAUAAUAUGUGGCUACGCAAUUGGACCUGUAACAAUUAAUCCAAAAAUUCGAUUCCUGCCGUUAUGAUCCUCAUAUGCAAAUAUGCAUUUGCCAGAAGACUAUUAUUGUGUCUAUAGUCUUAUUUUUACAGGCAGCUGUCUGAGCUGCAGGUGGCACAUCGUUCUAUGUAUUGAUAAUUCUAUCAUUGGUAUGGUAUUAGUCACUUGUUGUUCGUGAAUUACCAGUAUUUUUAAGUGUUGUAGAUGAUGGCCGUACCCCAUUCUAAAGGGCGGAGAGUCAAGCACUUCCCCCGCUGUCGUCUGGUCCACGCCAAAUCCUUAUUCUGGCUCCUGGCUACACGCUUGCUGUCGAGGAUGCACGCUGUCCUAUCACCUCUGCCGCUAAACACAGACCGCUUGUUUCUGGAAGAGCAAACAGAUUUCCUCACAAAGCUUAAAGAGCUAAAGGAUUUGCAAACUGUACACGAUGCACAACAGGUUGAACAAGAUCUAACUGUUAUUCAUGAACAUUUGGACACAUUCAUCACGUCUUAUAAAACGUGCUUGCUGGCAAAUACAACCAACAACUGUAACAAAACACUGGAGAAUGAAAAAGAGGUCUUGAAGAUGGAUUUAAUGAGGAUACCCAACUUGUUAAGAAAACUGCAUCGAUUGUGAUUGAUGGUACUUUUAAAUGGGACAGAAUCGAUAAACCACAAGAUGCAGGACUGAGAUGUCCACGGAGAGAUUCUAGUGAGGUAUUUUCUUGGGAGGAGGCAUCGCCCGAUGGAAAAGCUGGCUUUUACCUGAGACAGAAGAGGGGAUGCUAUUUGAGUUUCGGUAGGCCUUUUGUGUUGUACAAAAAAGUGGUACCAACGUCAAUGAUAAAAUUGACAGGAAAGAGUUUCUUAUUUGUAAACCCACCAAAAAUGAUGCGGUCACAUUUCUGAUAGCAGCUGACGAAGCAGACAUCGAUACAACAUACAGCUUCAAAGAAGUAGAAACUGGAAAAUAUUUGAACAUUCACACAGAGCGCACAAGUGUUAAUGACGAAAUCGACAAAAUACUGACAUUGGCACUCUUCCUUGACGAAGACCAAUUCUACUGGAAACAGGCACUGGAAGGAUAAAAAAACAGACCAUGUAAUGAAUCAUCAACUGUUGCAGCAACAGACACAUCUGAUGGAAGCUAUCUCGGACUUGGUUUUUCUUGUGACUAUAGUUUUGUGUUGCUAUUGCUGUCGCUGUCGUCGCAACUAACCCGCUCCCAAACACAACUUGACAUUAUGAUGAAGAUUUAUCUAAAUAUUCAGCAAUUUUAGUUUUGAUAUAUACUUUGUGAAAAAUUACAAAUUGGGCAGACUAUAAUUUGCCUAUGAUUUGAGCAAAAACACAAGCAUUAGAUAUUUUAUCUUUUAUCUUACUUACAAAAUGUAUGUAGGGAAAAUGUUGAUAAUCUUUGUUACUGAAACUAGCAGGAUUGUCGACAUUUCUUUUGGCUGGAAUUACGUUUAUCCAGAACAUCAUAAACCAACAACAUGUUGUUGCUGCAAUUUCGGGAUGUGUUCCUGUUGCCAACGGGGUAUGGGUAGCCUCGUGGUUGGAAGUGCGUCAAGUAACUGUUCUACUCACUAUCUGAUUCAUCACUCUGAUAAGACCCGAGUGUCCGGUGUGGGAAUAGUGUACACUCACUCAUGUAUAUCAUCAAAGUAGGUCACAAGUUGACAUGACGUAAAGCUGCCUUAUCUCAUUUAACGUUUUGACUGUAGUGUCAUUGGAGAAUCUGCGGAAUUAAUACAAUUCGUGCACUGCAAAUGUCUGACGGUAUCAAUUCACUUAAUAUGACUAUUAUCGUGUAUAUAUACUUGGACAUAAAAACAUAAAAUAAACAUAUUGUUUCUUUGUUUUCAUAAAUGUUAAUGUUCCAAAAGCUUCAGUGAUGAUUAGUGUUCAUUGUUCAUGGACAAAAUUCUUGAAACAUAUGUCUCCUUCAAUGUAUGACCUGGAGUGAGCGAGUGAGUUGGGUUUAAGGCCGCUUUUAACAGUUUUCCACUUA
rnacentral:lncRNA from 1 species